rnacentral:rRNA from 1 species
UUGACCUCGGAUCAGGUAGGAGUUACCCGCUGAACUUAAGCAUAUCAAUAGGCCGGAGGAAA